rnacentral:rRNA from 1 species
CCUACGGGAGGCAGCAGUGGGGAAUAUUGGACAAUGGGCGAAAGCCUGAUCCAGCAAUGCCGCGUGAGUGAUGAAGGCCUUAGGGUUGUAAAGCUCUUUUACCAGGGAUGAUAAUGACAGUACCUGGAGAAUAAGCUCCGGCUAACUCCGUGCCAGCAGCCGCGGUAAUACGGAGGGAGCUAGCGUUGUUCGGAAUUACUGGGCGUAAAGCGUACGUAGGCGGUUAUUCAAGUCAGAGGUGAAAGCCUGGAGCUCAACUCCAGAACUGCCUUUGAAACUAGAUAGCUAGAAUCUUGGAGAGGUGAGUGGAAUUCCGAGUGUAGAGGUGAAAUUCGUAGAUAUUCGGAAGAACACCAGUGGCGAAGGCGACUCACUGGACAAGUAUUGACGCUGAGGUACGAAAGCGUGGGGAGCAAACAGGAUUACGAUACCCUGGUAGUCCACGCCGUAAACGAUGAUAACUAGCUGUUCGGGCUCUACGAGCUUGAGUGGCGCNGCUACGACAUUAAGUUAUCCGUCCGUCGGGAGGUACGGUCGCGAGAAUUAAACUACAAUAGAGUUAGUACGGCGUGAGACGUCGCCGACGGACGACGACGAGGGAGAGG